rnacentral:rRNA from 1 species
CUAACGGGAGGCAGCAGUGGGGAAUAUUGGACAAUGGGCGAAAGCCUGAUCCAGCCAUGCCGCGUGUGUGAAGAAGGCCUUCGGGUUGUAAAGCACUUUCAGUGGGGAAGAAAGCCUUGGGGCUAAUACCCUCGAGGAAGGACAUCACCCACAGAAGAAGCACCGGCUAACUCCGUGCCAGCAGCCGCGGUAAUACGGAGGGUGCGAGCGUUAAUCGGAAUUACUGGGCGUAAAGCGCGCGUAGGCGGUCUGAUAAGCCGGUUGUGAAAGCCCCGGGCUCAACCUGGGAACGGCAUCCGGAACUGUCAGGCUAGAGUGCAGGAGAGGAAGGUAGAAUUCCCGGUGUAGCGGUGAAAUGCGUAGAGAUCGGGAGGAAUACCAGUGGCGAAGGCGGCCUUCUGGACUGACACUGACGCUGAGGUGCGAAAGCGUGGGUAGCAAACAGGAUUAGAUACCCCGGUAGUC